rnacentral:rRNA from 1 species
UACGAAGGGGGCUAGCGUUGUUCGGAGUUACUGGGCGUAAAGGGCGCGUAGGCGGCGCACCAAGUCAGGCGUGAAAGCCCUGGGCUCAACCCGGGAAUUGCGCUUGAGACUGGUGUGCUUGAGUACGGGAGAGGAUAGUGGAAUUCCCAGUGUAGAGGUGAAAUUCGUAGAUAUUGGGAAGAACACCGGUGGCGAAAGCGGCUCACUGGGUCUCUUCUGACGCUGAGGCACGAAAGCUAGGGGAGCGAACGGG